rnacentral:rRNA from 1 species
CGCGUAGGCGGGCCUUCAAGUCGGUUGUGAAAACUCCGAGCUUAACUCGGAGCCUGCAUCCGAUACUGUUGGUCUUGAGUACAGGAGAGGAAAGUGGAAUUCCAGGUGUAGCGGUGAAAUGCGUAGAUAUCUGGAAGAACACCAGUAGCGAAGGCGGCUUUCUGGACUGAUACUGACGCUAAAGCGCGAAGGCUUGGGGAGCAAACA